GGCCGGCAGCCUAGCGAGCGUUAACACGCUUAAAUGUUUUACGUUGGCCACAGAGAAUGUGAGCCCACAGUUCUCGGGAGCAGCCUGCGUCGGUGGCAUUGUUAUCUUCAAAACGGGAGGUGUUUAGCUUGUCCAGUGGCAAGACGUCGGUGUCCUCAAUGUGACGGCUUUUCCCUUAGUAAUCCGUGAUUGUCUGGAGUCCUUGCCACAUACGGCUCAUGUCUGAGCCAUUGAAAUGCGACUCCAAUCCCCAGUAGAAGCAAUCCUUCAUAGGAAUGAAUGGUAUUCUACAGUAUUUCAGUUAAAUGUUUCAAGUACAAAAUGACAUGUAUUUGUUGUAGUGGGGACAGUAGCAUUAGUAAUUUCCCAAAAUGGUACAUAAAAACAAUUUAUUUUAUGUAUUUUUUUAUAUAUAUUUGUAAAGUAUUUAUUAAGGUUACUGUAAUAGAAUAACGCUAACUACCUAUGCCAAAUCGUCCAGCAUAAUUAAUGAGUUAAUGAGAGAGAGCGCGAGGUGGAACAUCAGAUGAGGUUUUCAUAGACCAGUAUACUCUACACUGGUUGGUUGGUGACAGCUCACAUGGGCCGUGUUGACUGGCGCAACCACCUGUCAAUCACAACGUACAUUGCCAGGUUACCACUUGCGCGAUGUCCACCUGUUAGUUGUCAUAGCGGAAAAAUCAGUGUUGAGACCUUCUUGCUGCCCGUCUCUGCAUGAUUGCAGAAGGCAAUGAGCUCCGUCGGCUCUUUUUAAAAAUGGCGGGUGGGGAAGCGAAACCUACUGUGAUAGGGAAAGGGGGAGACAAGCCAUGCUGCAAUCCACUCCCAGUUAGAUGGGGUCUGUUCAGGCCUCUAUCAGCUCCCUGGGGGACAUGAAGGACAUCCAGAACUCUCUGGCAGAAGUCAGCAAUGACUGRAGGCAAGGCAUCAACACCAUUGAACCUGCCGUAUGUAAAAUAUGCUGGGAUGCAACACAGUCAGCUUACCUCAGCCAUGGAGAAUCUGAAGAAUAUAUUUUCAGGUAUGUUCCGCUGCAGCCAUUACAUGCCACUUGAUUGGGAACUAUUAUUGUUGGCUUGCAUUGCAUUUGAUGUGAGAGUACUGUUACAUUGUAUUAGUGUAUUUUCCCUCAACUGUGUCCUCAAUUAAUACUUACAAAAGUAUUUCUGUACUGCUCUCUCUGUGACUCAUGUAUAGGGCCCUGUGUUUUGGUUAACAGUUUCGCUAAGCAGUUACCCUCAAACAACUUGUUUGAAGGUGAAAUCACAGUAGGAGAAAACCUAAAACCUUAGAUUUUUGUUACAGCAGCACACUGACAUUAUAAAAGGCAAGGGGUUGAAUGGGCCAACAUGAAGGGUGACUACCUCAUGAAGCUAGUGGAGAGAAUGCCAGGAGUGUGCAAAGCUGUCAAGGCAAAGGAUGGCUACU